rnacentral:hammerhead_ribozyme from 1 species
AUCCAGCUGACGUGUCUCAAAUAGGACGAAACGCACGUCCUAGAU